rnacentral:rRNA from 1 species
GUMGGGGGCUAGCGUUGUCCGGAAUCAUUGGGCGUAAAGCGCGUGUAGGCGGUUCGGUAAGUCCGCUGUGAAAGUCGGGGGCUCAACCCUCGAAAGCCGGUGGAUACUGUCGGGCUAGAGUACGGAAGAGGCGAGUGGAAUUCCUGGUGUAGCGGUGAAAUGCGCAGAUAUCAGGAGGAACACCAAUUGCGAAGGCAGCUCGCUGGGACGUUACUGACGCUGAGACGCGAAAGCGUGGGGAGCAAACAGGAUUAGAUACCCUGGUAGUCCACGCCGUAAACGAUGGGCACUAGGUGUGGGGGGUGUCGACUCCCUCCGUGCCGAARCUAACGCAUUAAGUGCCCCGCCUGGGGAGUACGGCCGCAAGGCUA